rnacentral:lncRNA from 1 species
AUGAAAGUGCUGCACUCAAUAUGCCAGCAAAUUUGGAAAACUCAGCAGUGGCCACAGGACUGGAAAAGGUCAGUUUUCAUUCCAAUCCCAAAGAAAGGCAAUGGCAAAGAAUGCUCAAACUAUCGCACAAUUGCACCCAUCUCACAUGCUAGUAAAGUAAUGCUCAAAAUUCUCCAAGCCAGGCUUCAGCAAUACAUGAACCGUGAACUUCCUGAUGUUCAAGCUGGUUUUAGAAAAGGCAGAGGAACCAGAGGUCAAAUUGCCAACAUCCUCUGGAUCAUGGAAAAAGCAAGACAAUUCCAGAAAAACAUCUAUUUCUGUUUUAUUGACUAUGCCAAAGCCUUUGACUGUAUGGAUCACAAUAAACUGUGGAAAAUUCUGAAAGAGAUGGGACUACUAGACCACCUGACCUGCCUCUUGAGAAAUCUGUAUGUAGGUCAGAAAGCAACAGUUAGAACUGGACAUGGAACAAUAGACUGGUUCCAAAUAGGAAAAGGAGUACAUCAAGGCUAUAUAUUGUCACCCUGCUUAUUUAACUUCUUUGCAGAGUACAUCAUGAGAAACGCUGGACUGGAAGAAACACAAGCUGGAAUCAAGAUUGCCGGGAGAAAUAUCAAUAACCUCAGAUAUGCAGAUGACACCACCCUUAUGGCAGAAAGUGAAGAGGAAGUCAAAAGCCUCUUGAUGAAAGUGAAAGAGGAGAGUGAAAACGUUGGCUUAAAGCUCAACAUUCAGAAAAUGAAGAUUAUGGCAUCUGGUCCCAUCACUUCAUGGGAAAUAGAUGGGGAAACAGUGUCAGACUUUAUUUUUUUGGGCUCCAAAAUCACUGCAGAUGGUGACUGCAGCCAUGAAAUUAAAAGACACUUACCUCUUGGAAGAAAAUUUAUGACCAACCUAGACAGCAUAUUCAAAAGCAGAGACAUUACUUUGCCGACUAAGGUCCGUCUAGUCAAGGCUAUGGUUUUUCCAGUGGUCAUGUAUGGAUGUGAGAGUUGGACUGUGAAGAAGGCAGAGUGCCGAAGAAUCGAUGCUUUUGACCUGUGA